rnacentral:rRNA from 1 species
UACGAAGGGUGCAAGCGUUACUCGGAAUUACUGGGCGUAAAGCGUGCGUAGGCGGUUUGUUAAGUCCGUUGUGAAAGCCCUGGGCUCAACCUGGGAAUUGCAGUGGAUACUGGCGAGCUAGAGUGCGGUAGAGGAUGGUGGAAGUUCCCGGUGUAGCGGUGAAAUGCGUAGAGAUCGGGAGAACACCCGUGGCGAAGGCGGCUCUCUGGGACGGUACUGACGCUGAGACGCGAAAGCGUGGGGAGCGAACGAGGAAUUGAUGAUACCC